ensembl:lncRNA
CGGGGUCCUUCACAAACUGUUUGUGUGAUCACACCAAACACUCAGCUGUAACUCUCCAAAACAAUCCAAGAAAGUAUGUGUCAAUGAAAAUGUAGCCUUCCACAAGCUUCCCACAAUAAGUUGGGUGAAUUUUGGACCAUUCCUCCUGACAGAGCUGGUGUAACUGAUUCAGAUGAAUGUGGUCCCUUCAGGCGUUUGGAAAUUGUUCCCAAGGAUGAACCAGACUUGUGGAGGUGUACAUUUUUCUUCUGAGGUCUUGGCUGAUUUCUUUUGAUUUUCCCACAAUGUCUAGCAAAGAGGCACUGAGUUUGAAGGGAGACAGACAUACAUACAUCAUUGGAGGCUCCUCAAAGGGGGAAGGGGGAGGGUCAUCCCCCUCAGUGAAUUUCAUAAAUAUUAAAAAAUGGACAAUUUUAAGUUAUCCUUUUAAGAUGAAACUAUACUAAAUAUAAUCACAUCACCAAAUAAUUGAUUAAAACACAUCAUUUCUCAAUGAAGGUGUAAAGUAGCCUCAACAGCACUCUGUAGGGUAGCACAAGUGUGUAGCCAGAGGACCCGCUAGCUUCCGUCCUCCUCUCGGUACAUUGACUUCCAUACAAAACCUAGCAGGUUCAUGGUUGUCACCCCCUUCCAUAGUCUUACACAGUAAUUAUGAAC